GGGGACAUGGUCUAGUGGUAUGACGGAUCCUUAGCAGUAUCGGAGCUACGUGCUCUGUGAUCUGGAUCAGGUCCGGGGUUCGAUUCCCCGUGUCUCCA
rnacentral:tRNA from 1 species